GCUGUUGGAUAUGCGCGUCCAAGCAGUAAGGCGUGUGUGUAGGCAAAUCCGCACACUGUAACGUUGAGCUGUGAUGGCGAGUCCGUAUGGACGAAGUUCCUGAUUUCACACUGCCAAGAAAAGCCUCUAUCGAGGUGAGAGGUGCCCGUACCGCAAACCGACACAGGUAGUCGAGGAGAGAAUCCGAAGGUGUGCGAGAGAACUCUCGUUAAGGAACUCGGCAAAAUGACCCCGUAACUUCGGGAGAAGGGGUGCUCUUGAGCGUGCAAGCGCAUGAGAGCCGCAGUGAAUAGGCCCAGGCGACUGUUUAGC
rnacentral:rRNA from 1 species